GACGAACGCUGGCGGCGUGCUUAACACAUACAAGUCGAACGGAAAGGCCCUGCUUGCAGGGUACUCGAGUGGCGAACGGGUGAGUAACACGUGGGUGAUCUGCCCUGCACUUCGGGAUAAGCUUGGGAAACUGGGUCUAAUACCGGAUAGGAGCCAUCUUUAGUGUGGUGGUUGGAAAGUUUUUUCGGUGUAGGAUGAGCUCGCGGCCUAUCAGCUUGUUGGUGGGGUAAUGGCCUACCAAGGCGGCGACGGGUAGCCGGCCUGAGAGGGUGUACGGCCACAUUGGGACUGAGAUACGGCCCAGACUCCUACGGGAGGCAGCAGUGGGGAAUAUUGCACAAUGGGCGCAAGCCUGAUGCAGCGACGCCGCGUGGGGGAUGAAGGCCUUCGGGUUGUAAACUCCUUUCGCUAGGGACGAAGCUUUGUUGUGACGGUACCUAGAUAAGAAGCACCGGCUAACUACGUG
rnacentral:rRNA from 1 species